rnacentral:tRNA from 1 species
UGCCUGGAAGUCCAGUGCAUAAGACUCUGUACUCUUAAUGCAGGGGACCCAGGUUCGAUCCCUGGUCAGGGAA